rnacentral:rRNA from 1 species
AACGAACGCUGGCGGCAGGCUUAACACAUGCAAGUCGAACGCAUCCUUCGGGGUGAGUGGCAGACGGGAGAGUAACGCGUGGGAACGUGCCCUUCAGUUCGGAAUAACCCAGGGAAACUUGGGCUAAUACCGGAUACGUGCGAGAGCAGAAAGAUUUAUCGCUGAAGGAUCGGCCCGCGUCUGAUUAGCUAGUUUGUGAGGUAAUGGCUCACCAAGGCGAGGAUCAGUAGCUGGUCUGAGAGGAUGAUAAGCCACAUUGGGACUGAGACACGGCCCAAACUCCUACGGGAGGCAGCAGUGGGGAAUAUUGGACAGUGGGCGCAAGCCUGAUCCAGCCAUGCCGCGUGAGUGAUGAAGGCCUUAGGGUUGUAAAGCUCUUUCGGUGGGGACGAUAAUGACGGUACCCGCAGAAGAAGCCCCGGCUAACUUCGUGCCAGCCGCCGCCGUAA